UACGUAGGGGGCAAGCGUUGUCCGGAUUUAUUGGGCGUAAAGAGCGUGUAGGCGGUUUGGUAGGUCCGCUGUGAAAACUCGAGGCUCAACCUCGAGACGCCGGUGGAAACCAUCAGACUAGAGUCCGGAAGAGGAGAGUGGAAUUCCUGGUGUAGCGGUGAAAUGCGCAGAUAUCAGGAGGAACACCGGUGGCGAAGGCGGGUCUCUGGGCCGUAACUGACGCUGAGGAGCGAAAGCCAGGGGAGCAAACGGG
rnacentral:rRNA from 1 species